rnacentral:misc_RNA from 1 species
GGGUCCCGGAGAUGCUUCCGGAUGGUAUUGAAGAGACAUAAUCUUUAGCUUCGGGAAGGCAAGGCCAGCACAACUUCCAUCAUUAAGAUUAAUGUGGGUUACUUCAACGCCCUCAGGAAGGGAUGCAGGGUCGACGGCGUAGUUGUGAUUCUGAGCACUAAUUUCUACACGGUCGUUCCGGAAGUUGCGGACGGGAUGAUUGCCUCCAUGAUGACCAAAUUUCAUUUUGAAGGUCUUA